rnacentral:pre_miRNA from 1 species
AGUCAAAUUGCUGGGUCAUGUGAUAACUGAAUGGAUAACUUUUGGAGGAACUGCCAGACCGUUUUCUAAGUGGCUGCACCACUUUACAUUCCCCAAUAGCAGU